CUCCUUUCGUCUUUCUCAUAUUUGCUUGCUGAAGGAAAGCUGCUGCUGUGACACUCAUACCACAGGUAUUCUCAUCUUUCAUGCUUAAAUUAAUUCUGUCAACAAAAUUUACAUAAUUAUAUUCUUCUAAUUAAUUUUUUUUUUAUAUCUGUUUCUGGGGAAUGAUAUUUUUGUCACCAAUUUUUAACCAUUUCCUUCAUGAUUAUAUACUUACCUACAUUAAUACAAGACUUUAUUUUUUUCAUCCCCUAAACCAUGCAAUUUUUGCAGACAGGUAAAAAGAGAAGCACCAUUGUGGAAGAGAUAAGCACAUUAGUGACAUUAUCAGAAUAUUAUUCACUAAAAUUAUUUUCUAACAUCUACUCUUAUAUUACAAACUCAUAUCAUAUUGUUAGUGUGAAAAUUGUUUUUGUGUAAUUAGUACUUUUAUGUUAGAUUAAUCUGUUUUUAAUUUGAAAGUGGACUUUUUAUUUAUUUCACAUGUCUUAUUGUUUCAGCCUAUUCUAAGUUUUUUUUUAUCAGCACCUAUUCUAUUCUAAGUUAUGGCUACAAGUCUUGGUGGAUUUGACACCCAUUUUAAUUAAUUUAACAUUUUUUCUGGACAUUGAUUCAUGUAUUGUGUUGUUAGGUAUUGUGAUGCAAUGAUGAUGAUAAAAGGUGGUGAGCUUGCAGGUUGUAGGUGAGUCCAAUUUGAUCUUACAUAAUUUGUGAUUUAGAUUUUCAUUAAGACAACUCAAACAUCUACAAUAUCAUUUGCUACAAUGUUUUAAUGUAUUCAUCUUUUAAUGAGUAACACUAUUUUCGAUCUUCUUUACAUAACAAAAGGCAUGCAAAUGUACCAAAGCAUUGUUGUUCGAGAUGCAUUUUCUGCUUCCAACUGUGAUGCACCAAACAAUUCCUCAAGACAAAACAAAGAAAGCUUCUAUCAUAGAGUAGAAAAAGAGAAUAUCAUUUACACAAGGUUAAUCAUACUCUCACUUGCAUCUUUAUUUCCAAUUAAACAAAAUGUUAGAAUUUGUUACUAUACUCUCACUUGAAACUAACAUACUUUGUUUCCAAUUGUUGGAAUUUUUGGAAGGAAGGCAUCUUCAAAUUAGGUGAAGCAAUUGGCUUGGUGCAAAGUGGUUGAAAUUCUCUUAACAAGUAUGUUGGGUAGUACUUAGCCUAACACAUGUGAAAAUAUGUAGUUUUGGUAUAGGCAGAAAGUCGUGUGGUGCUGGAGAAAAAAGAUUCUAUGCAUUUGUGACAAAUGUUGAAUCAAGCUAAAGUAGUUUAGGUUUGUUUAUGUUUUUGUUGUUAUGUAACGUCUCUGAUUUCCUAGAUUACAAGCUUGGUUUGUGAUUCUUCUUGGCACUUAUAUAAGGGUUAAAAUAUUCUUAUAGUAUCCCUUUUUAAUAUUGAUUGUACUUCAUGCUUUAGCUUGCUGUAAUAAGGAUAUAUAACAAUGCACCCAAAAC
rnacentral:lncRNA from 1 species